rnacentral:rRNA from 1 species
AUACGGAGGGGGCUAGCGUUGCUCGGAUUUACUGGGCGUAAAGGGCGCGUAGGCGGAUUAGCAAGUCAGGCGUGAAAGCCCCGGGCUCAACCUGGGAAAUGCGCUUGAGACUGCUGGUCUAGAGUUCGGGAGAGGGUAGUGGAAUUCCCAGUGUAGAGGUGAAAUUCGUAGAUAUUGGGAAGAACACCAGUGGCGAAGGCGGCUACCUGGACCGAUACUGACGCUGAGGCGCGAAAGCGUGGGGAGCAAACAGGAUUAGAAACCCCGGUAGUCC